GCUACGGGGAGCAGCAGUGAGGAAUAUUGGUCAAUGGACGCAAGUCUGAACCAGCCAUGCCGCGUGCAGGAAGACGGCUCUAUGAGUUGUAAACUGCUUUUGUACGAGGGUAAACGCAGAUACGCGUAUCUGUCUGAAAGUAUCGUACGAAUAAGGAUCGGCUAACUCCGUGCCAGCAGCCGCGGUAAUACGGAGGAUUCAAGCGUUAUCCGGAUUUAUUGGGUUUAAAGGGUGCGUAGGCGGUCGGAUAAGUUAGAGGUGAAAUCCCGAGGCUCAACUUCGGAAUUGCCUCUGAUACUGUUCGGCUAGAGAGUAGUUGCGGUAGGCGGAAUGUAUGGUGUAGCGGUGACAUGCUUAGAGAUCAUACAGAACACCGAUUGCGAAGGCAGCAUACCGGCGCUCAACUGACGCUCAUGCACGAAAGUGUGGGUAUCGAACAGGAUUAGAUACCCCUGUAGUC
rnacentral:rRNA from 1 species